CUAGCUUCAGUAUUAACCUGGUGAGGGGCAAACCUAGAAAGCUCCAAAAACUUCGACAAAUAUUCUGACACAGACAUUCCUUCUUGCUUCAAUCCUAAAAACUUCAUCUCCAUUUCAUUUUUCAUACACGUAGGAAAAUAUUUAUCAAAGAACAACUCCUUAAACCUCGUCCAAGUCAUUGUUGAACAAUCUUCCGUCUGUUUAACAGUGUCCC
rnacentral:lncRNA from 1 species